CAAGUGAAGAGUUUGAUCCUGGCUCAGAUUGAACGCUGGCGGCAUGCCUAACACAUGCAAGUCGAACGGCAACAUGAGGUGUAGCAAUACACCUUGAUGGCGAGUGGCGGACGGGUGAGGAAUGCAUCGGAAUCUGCCCAGUCGUGGGGGAUAACCCGGGGAAACCCGGACUAAUACCGCAUACGACCUUCGGGUGAAAGCGGGGGACCGUAAGGCCUCGCGCGAUUGGAUGAGCCGAUGCCGGAUUAGCUUGUUGGCGGGGUAACGGCCCACCAAGGCGACGAUCCGUAGCUGGUCUGAGAGGAUGAUCAGCCACACUGGGACUGAGACACGGCCCAGACUCCUACGGGAGGCAGCAGUGGGGAAUAUU
rnacentral:ncRNA from 1 species